rnacentral:rRNA from 1 species
GAUGAACGCUGGCGGCGUGCCUAAUACAUGCAAGUCGAGCGAACGGACGAGAAGCUUGCUUCUCUGAUGUUAGCGGCGGACGGGUGAGUAACACGUGGAUAACCUACCUAUAAGACUGGGAUAACUUCGGGAAACCGGAGCUAAUACCGGAUAAUAUUUUGAACCGCAUGGUUCAAAAGUGAAAGACGGUCUUGCUGUCACUUAUAGAUGGAUCCGCGCUGCAUUAGCUAGUUGGUAAGGUAACGGCUUACCAAGGCAACGAUGCAUAGCCGACCUGAAAGGGUGAUCGGCCACACUGGAACUGAGACACGGUCCAGACUCCUACGGGAGGCAGCAGUAGGGAAUCUUCCGCAAUGGGCGAAAGCCUGACGGAGCAACGCCGCGUGAGUGAUGAAGGUCUUCGGAUCGUAAAACUCUGUUAUUAGGGAAGAACAUAUGUGUAAGUAACUGUGCACAUCUUGACGGUACCUAAUCAGAAAGCCACGGCUAACUACAUG